UACGUAGGGUGCGAGCGUUAAUCGGAAUUACUGGGCGUAAAGCGUGCGCAGGCGGUUUUGUAAGCCAGAUGUGAAAGCCCCGGGCUUAACCUGGGAAUGGCAUUUGGGACUGCAAGGCUGGAGUGUGGCAGAGGAGACUGGAAUUCCUGGUGUAGCAGUGAAAUGCGUAGAUAUCAGGAGGAACACCGAUGGCGAAGGCAGGUCUCUGGGCUGACACUGACGCUCAUGCACGAAAGCGUAGGGAGCGGGA
rnacentral:rRNA from 1 species